AGAACUUCCUCGAACGAUCGCUGUGGUGGUGCCAUUGUCCAUUGAUCUGGACGUCGGUAGAAAAAUUGAGGGAAAUCAAAGUCAGAAGAAUUGAAAAUACUAUGCACUGUGUCUACAAAAAGUCCAAGCUGCCUAUUCCUACAUAAGGAUAAGGAUCCACGAAAUCUGGAGGACCUUCAGACUUGGCUCUUUGCUGGGGCGAAGGGUGUGAAGUGGUUUGCCGCAGAUUCAGAGGCCAUUUGGUUCAUCCAUAAUCUUCAAUGCAUCCCUAUCCUGAUGCUUCUAAUUUUCACUGCCCUCGGGUUUUGGAGCAUUGUGUAACUUUAUUUGGUUCAUUGCAGGUGCAGGGAACCUAUUGGAUUUACAUCUUCUACUCUGUAAGUGCCCUUCCCAUUGUACCUCUUUUUUAUGUGUUGAAUCACUGGUUCCCAAGGCUGCCAAAUUGAUCUUUACCAACAAAGCUUGACAAAGCAGUGUUCGACGGUGUGCCUAGGUGAAACACAUGGUCUCCAUCACC